rnacentral:lncRNA from 1 species
AUCACCAUGCCAAGGAGCUGAACGUGUUCUUGAUUAUUUUAUCUUGUAGAGUGACAAAGCUGCCUUGUGUGGGACUGAGUCAUUCAAGAGUUGUUCACACCCCACUUGUGACUUCCAGAAAAUCUUUCUUUGGGACUUGAAGACUUCUUUCUGCAGCUGGCAUCUGUACAUCUGCAUUCCCAUUGUGUACUGGGAGGAUGUGGGGAGACAGCUGACCCCCUGCCCCUACCAUGUCCUCUCCACACUGACCUGUGCUCCCUGCCCUGAUUGACCAUCCUGUUUGGACAAGCACCCAAACUCCUCUGGAGUUUUGGUAUUGGAGCUUGAUUCUGAAGCUGGAGCACCACGGAGAGAGACAGAGCCAUUCACCUAAUAGUCUACAGCUGACCUUGUGGAGAGAGACAAAGCUUAGAGAGCCUAAUAGGCUACUGCUGACCUUGUGGAGAAAACUAAGUACCUGGGCCCAGAGGAACCCAGGAAGCUGAAUACUUGCAGAUGGCAGCAGCCAUCUUGCUCCAAACGUGAAAAUAGAGUUUGGUGAGGGAAGUAACUUAUGCUUUACGGCCUGGUAUCUGUAAGCUCCUACCCCAAAUAAAUACCCUUUAUAAAAACCAACC